UACGUUAGCAGACAGCGGUUUGCUCGAGGAUGCGAUUUGUGGUAGUGGUGAAGCAAAUUUGCUGAAUAUUCCGUUCAAGUUCUUCACUAGGCGCCCGUCGAUGUUCACCAGAUAUGCAACAAGUCCACUCUUUUCAAGCUGCACUCUCAGCCCAGGCAACAGCAGCACCAGAUGAAUGUACACAACUUCCCAGUGAAUUAAGAAGCACGAGUGCAAUUCUGACGCUGGCAGGUACGGCACGCUGUGUUACACUAUAAAACACACAUGCCAUUCGCGCUCAAUGCACUUAUUUUGGAGGUGUUGCAGCAAAUAAUGCUGUUGCACAAAACGGCAGUCUGGUGCGUAAUGUGCACGCAUACUGUCGAGCUCGACUAAUUCUCAAAGGAUGUCACAGUGUUCCAGACUGAGAACGUCAUUUCCCAUCGUCUUCGACUAGUUCGGGUGGCGUGUUCGAACUAUCUAAUUGUAUCACCUGUUCUAUGUCAUCACAUAAGUCGGUAAAUAUCUAACAAAUAUCGUAGUGGCUCAAUUUAAAGGUUAUCUUUAGUUGUGCUUAAUCAUUCCCAUUAUUUUCUACUUAUGUUUUUACUCAGAAUUCCAAUGCUGUGUUCGUAUCUGGGAACAACAAAAUAAAACACAUGAUAAUUGUGUUAAUACUGAUAUUUUAUUAUUACUGAUUAAAGAUCUUCAUACAUGGAGAGAAGAAAUGCAGGAGGAGGCCAAGAGUCAUUCUACUAAAGGCAAAGGAGCACAAAGAUUCAAAGGUGGAGGUUUAAAGUGUUAUUACAUUUGUGACUGAUUGGGUGCUUUUACAUAGGUCACAAAUCACAUGGUUCCAUCAUGCGUGGGGAUACCUGCCUUGCUGAUGUGUCUGCAACAUUCCAUGCAACAUGAUGUGUGCUUAACUGGGAACAACAAAAUAAAACACAUGAGAAUUGUGUUAAUACUGAGAUUUUAUUAUUACUGAUUUCAGAUCUUCAUGCAUGGAGAGAAGAAAUGCAGAAGGCAGCCAAAAGACAACAGGAGCAAAAAUAUUGAAAGGUUCUACGAUGGAACCACGGCUGGAAGUCUGCCGUGUACACG